rnacentral:rRNA from 1 species
AGAGUUUGAUCCUGGCUCAGGAUGAACGCUGGCGGCGUGCUUAACACAUGCAAGUCGAACGAACCUUCGGGUUAGUGGCGGACGGGUGAGUAACGCGUGAGAAUCUGCCCUCAGGAGGGGGAUAACGGCUGGAAACGGCCGCUAAUACCCCAUAUGCCGAGAGGUGAAAUGAAUUUCGCCUGAGGAUGAGCUCGCGUCUGAUUAGCUAGUUGGUGGGGUAAGAGCCUACCAAGGCAUCGAUCAGUAGCUGGUCUGAGAGGAUGAUCAGCCACACUGGGACUGAGACACGGCCCAGACUCCUACGGGAGGCAGCAGUGGGGAAUUUUCCGCAAUGGGCGAAAGCCUGACGGAGCAACGCCGCGUGAGGGAUGAAGGCCUCUGGGCUGUAAACCUCUUUUAUCAAGGAAGAAGAUCUGACGGUACUUGAUGAAUAAGCCACGGCUAAUUCCGUGCCAGCAGCCGCGGUAAUACGGGAGUGGCAAGCGUUAUCCGGAAUUAUUGGGCGUAAAGCGUCCGCAGGCGGCCUGAUAAGUCUGUUGUCAAAGCGUGGAGCUUAACUCCAUUUCGGCAAUGGAAACUGUGAGGCUUGAGUGUGGUAGGGGCAGAGGGAAUUCCCGGUGUAGCGGUGAAAUGCGUAGAUAUCGGGAAGAACACCAGUGGCGAAGGCGCUCUGCUGGGCCAUAACUGACGCUCAUGGACGAAAGCCAGGGGAGCGAAAGGGAUUAGAUACCCCUGUAGUCCUGGCCGUAAACGAUGAACACUAGGUGUCGGGGGAAUCGACCCCCUCGGUGUCGUAGCCAACGCGUUAAGUGUUCCGCCUGGGGAGUACGCACGCAAGUGUGAAACUCAAAGGAAUUGACGGGGGCCCGCACAAGCGGUGGAGUAUGUGGUUUAAUUCGAUGCAACGCGAAGAACCUUACCAGGGUUUGACAUCCUGCGAAUCCCUUGGAAACUUGGGAGUGCCUUCGGGAGCGCAGAGACAGGUGGUGCAUGGCUGUCGUCAGCUCGUGUCGUGAGAUGUUGGGUUAAGUCCCGCAACGAGCGCAACCCACGUCUUUAGUUGCCAGCAUUGAGUUGGGCACUCUAGAGAGACCGCCGGUGAUAAACCGGAGGAAGGUGUGGAUGACGUCAAGUCAUCAUGCCCCUUACAUCCUGGGCUACACACGUACUACAAUGCUACGGACAAAGGGCAGCAAACUCGCGAGAGCUAGCAAAUCCCAUAAACCGUGGCUCAGUUCAGAUCGUAGGCUGCAACUCGCCUACGUGAAGGAGGAAUCGCUAGUAAUCGCAGGUCAGCAUACUGCGGUGAAUACGUUCCCGGGCCUUGUACACACCGCCCGUCAAACCAUGGAAGUUGGCCACGCCCGAAGCCGUUACUCCAACCCUUGUGGAGGAGGACGUCGAAGGUGGGGCUGAUGA